rnacentral:rRNA from 1 species
GACGAACGCUGGCGGCGUGCUUAACACAUGCAAGUCGAACGGAAAGGCCCUGCUUUUGUGGGGUGCUCGAGUGGCGAACGGGUGAGUAACACGUGAGUAAACUGCCCUUGACUUUGGGAUAAAUUCAGGAAACUGGGGCUAAUACCGGAUAGGAGCUCCUGCUGCAUGGUGGGGGUUGGAAAGUUUCGGCGGUUGGGGAUGGACUGGCGGCUUAUCAGCUUGUUGGGGGGGUAGUGGCUUACCAAGGCUUUGACGGGUAGCCGGCCUGAGAGGGUGACCGGCCACAUUGGGACUGAGAGACGGCCCAGACUCCUACGGGAGGCAGCAGUGGGGAAUUUUGCACAAUGGGCGGAAGCCUGAUGCAGCAACGCCGCGUGCGGGAUGACGGCCUUCGGGUUGUAAACCGCUUUCGCCUGUGACGAAGCGUGAGUGACGGUAAUGGGUAAAGAAGCACCGGCUAACUACGUG